rnacentral:rRNA from 1 species
CCUACGGGUGGCUGCAGUGAGGAAUAUUGGUCAAUGGGAGAGAUCCUGAACCAGCCAAGCCGCGUGAGGGAAGACGGCCCUAUGGGUUGUAAACCUCUUUUGUCGGAGAACAAAACCCGGGACGUGUCCCGGACUCCGCGUAUCCGAAGAAACAGCAUCGGCUAACUCCGUGCCAGCAGCCGCGGUAAUACGGAGGUUGCGAGUGUUAUCCGGGUUUAUUGGGUUUAAAGGGGGGGUAGGCGGUCCGUUAAGUCAGCGGGAAAAUUGUGGGCCUAAACCCCGUCGAGCGGUUGAAACUGGGAGACUUGAGUGGGCGAGAGGUACGCGGAAUGCGUGGUGUAGCGGUGAAAUGCAUAGAGAUCAUGAAGAACACCGAUUGCGAAGGCAGCGGA